UACGGGGGGGGCAAGCGUUGUUCGGAAUUACUGGGCGUAAAGGGCCAGUAGGCGGCCAACUAAGUCGGAUGUGAAAUCCCCAGGCUUAACCUGGGAACUGCAUCCGAUACUGGAUGGCUUGAAUUCGGGAGAGGGAUGCAGAAUUCCAGGUGUAGCGGUGAAAUGCGUAGAUAUCUGGAGGAAUACCGGUGGCGAAGGCAGGUCUCUGGGCAUUAACUGACGCUGAGGAGCGAAAGCAUGGGGAGCGAACAGG
rnacentral:rRNA from 1 species